AAGGAGGCAAAUUGUAUCGUUUUCUCAUCUGAAUCCUCCAAAAGCCACCAUAUAGUAACCCAAAUAGACAAAGGAAAAUUCCAGUAAGUCCUAACGCCCCCCUGACACUAUCAUUGUCAAUAUUAACAGCAGCCAAAUUGAAGAUCCAGAAAGGAGCCAUACAAAAGAGAAGAAAAGUUGCAAUAUGAACAUACAUGUUUCCAAACCCAAGUCUCUCCAUAUUCCAACCAAAAACACAAAAACUGCAGAACAGAGAGAGAUAUGCCAAAGAAAU
rnacentral:lncRNA from 1 species